ACUAACUAGGAUUCCCUCAGUAGCGGCGAGCGAACAGGGAGGAGCCCAGCGCUGAAUCCCGCGGCUUCACGGCCGCCGGGAAAUGUAGCGUUAGGGAGGGUCCGCCAUCCCGAGGUCGCGCGGCGCGUCCAAGUCCUUCUUGAACGGGGCCACUUACCCAUAGAGGGUGCCAGGCCCGUAGCGACAGCCGCCGGCAGCGGGAGGACCUCUCCUCAGAGUCGGGUUGCUUGAGAGUGCAGCCCAAAGUGGGUGGUAAACUCCAUCUAAGGCUAAAUACAACCACGAGACCGAUAGCGAACAAGUACCGUGAGGGAAAGUUGAAAAGAACUUUGAAGAGAGAGUUCAACAGUACGUGAAACCGUUCAGGGGUAAACCUGAGAAACCCGAAAGUUCGAAAGGGGAGAUUCAGCGCGGCUCUGGCCGGCGGGAUCGGGUCGCCGCGCGACGUCGCGUCCUUCGGGACGCUUCGCGCCGGCCCCGACCGUCCGGUCGGAACGCGUGCACUUCUCCCCCAGUAGGACGUCGCGACCCGUAGGGCGUCGGCUUAAGGAGCGAGGUGGAGACCCGGCGACUUCGGUCGCCGGGACCCGCGCCUCCGAGCCGACCUGCCCGACGGAAUGACACAUGGCGAGGGGCCGCGUCUCGCACGCGUCCGACCCGCCGCAAGCUCGAGUCGGCCAACCCGUCGUCCGGACCUAGUGCCGGCGGCGGGCCCGCUCUGCUGCUGGCGGCGGCGUUCUUGGACAGACCUCUGGUGACACGCCGGUCAGCGACGCUAUUGCUUUGGGUACUUUCAGGACCCGUCUUGAAACACGGACCAAGGAGUCUAGCAUGUGCGCGAGUCAUUGGGACUCUAUAAACCUAAAGGCGAAAUGAAAGUGAAGGCCCGCCUCGCGCGGGCCGAGGGAGGAUGGGUGCGGCUUCGGCUGCGCCCCGCACUCCCGGGGCGUCUCGUUCUCAUUGCGAGUUGAGGCGCACCCAGAGCGUACACGCUGGGACCCGAAAGAUGGUGAACUAUGCCUGGUCAGGACGAAGUCAGGGGAAACCCUGAUGGAGGUCCGUAGCGAUUCUGACGUGCAAAUCGAUCGUCGGAACUGGGUAUAGGGGCGAAAGACUAAUCGAACCAUCUAGUAGCUGGUUCCCUCCGAAGUUUCCCUCAGGAUAGCUGGCGCUCGCAUUGCGAGUUUCAUCUGGUAAAGCGAAUGAUUAGAGGCAUUGGGGUCGAAACGGCCUCAACCUAUUCUCAAACUUUAAAUGGGUGAGAUCUCCGGCUUGCUUAAACGGUGAAGCCGCGAGAAUCGAACGAAUCAGAG
rnacentral:rRNA from 1 species